rnacentral:rRNA from 1 species
UGGAAUUAUUGGGCGUAAAGAGCUCGUAGGCGGUUUGUCGCGUCUGCCGUGAAAGUCCGGGGCUCAACUCUGGAUCUGCGGUGGGUACGGGCAGACUAGAGUGAUGUAGGGAGACUGGAAUUCCUUGUGUAGCGGUGAAAUGCGCAGAUAUCAGGAGGAACACCGAUGGCGAAGGCAGGUCUCUGGGCAUUAACUGACGCUGAGGAGCGAAAGCAUGGGGAGCGAACAGGAUUAGAUACCCUGGUAGUCCAUGCCGUAAACGUUGGGCACUAGGUGUGGGGGACAUUCCACGUUUUCCGCGCCGUAGCUAACGCAUUAAGUGCCCCGCCUGGGGAGUACGGCCGCAAGGCUAAAACUCAAAGGAAUUGACGGGGGCCCGCACAAGCGGCGGAGCAUGCGGAUUAAUUCGAUGCAACGCGAAGAACCUUACCAAGGCUUGACAUGGGCCGGAUCGCCGCAGAAAUGUGGUUUCCCCUUUGGGGCCGGUUCACAGGUGGUGCAUGGUUGUCGUCAGCUCGUGUCGUGAGAUGUUGGGUUAAGUCCCGCAACGAGCGCAACCCUCGUUCUAUGUUGCCAGCGCGUUAUGGCGGGGACUCAUAGGAGACUGCCGGGGUCAACUCGGAGGAAGGUGGGGACGACGUCAAAUCAUCAUGCCCCUUAUGUCUUGGGCUUCACGCAUGCUACAAUGGCCGGUACAAAGGGUUGCGAUACUGUGAGGUGGAGCUAAUCCCAAAAAGCCGGUCUCAGUUCGGAUUGGGGUCUGCAACUCGACCCCAUGAAGUCGGAGUCGCUAGUAAUCGCAGAUCAGCAACGCUGCGGUGAAUACGUUCCCGGGCCUUGUACACACCGCCCGUCAAGUCACGAAAGUUGGUAACACCCGAAGCCGGUGGCCUAACCCCUUGUGGGAGGGAGCUGUCGAAGGUGGGACUG